CCUUGUACACACCGCCCGUCACACCACGAAAGUCGAUUGCACCAGAAGUCGGUGUCCUAACUGGGGUAAGGAGGGAGCCGCCCAAGGUUUGGUCGAUGAUUGGGGUG
rnacentral:rRNA from 1 species